AAGUCGUAACAAGGUUUCCGUAGGUGAACCUGCGGAAGGAUCAUUAACACGUAUCCAAACGUUAAAACCCCCCCCGUGAACCUUCAUCCUGCUCUUGUAACCCGCGUAGUUCGCAAUCUCUGAUAAAUCAUAGCCCGGAAAGUUGUAGUGAUUCAGAGACCUCUGGCUACGUGCGAACAUUGGAACAGUUACAAUCGAGCGGUAGUUCUAUAGGCAAUGUUUCCCCAAGCAGUCAGUGUCGGAAAGUGUCAUUGAUUGUGCAAGGAGAGCGCUUCUACGAUUCCUGUAGACCGUACACUCGACCUAAUAACCCCACAGUUUAAUGUGAAGCUCAAUGUAAUACAUUGGGUAAAAAAACCGAACAACUGUUAACAAUGGAUAUCUUGGUUCUC
rnacentral:misc_RNA from 1 species